GACGAACGCUGGCGGCGUGCCUAAUACAUGCAAGUAGAACGCUGAAGAGAGGAGCUUGCUCUUCUUGGAUGAGUUGCGAACGGGUGAGUAACGCGUAGGUAACCUGCCUUGUAGCGGGGGAUAACUAUUGGAAACGAUAGCUAAUACCGCAUAACAAUGGAUGACACAUGUCAUUUAUUUGAAAGGGGCAAUUGCUCCACUACAAGAUGGACCUGCGUUGUAUUAGCUAGUAGGUGAGGUAAUGGCUCACCUAGGCGACGAUACAUAGCCGACCUGAGAGGGUGAUCGGCCACACUGGGACUGAGACACGGCCCAGACUCCUACGGGAGGCAGCAGUAGGGAAUCUUCGGCAAUGGGGGCAACCCUGACCGAGCAACGCCGCGCGAGUGAAGAAGGUUUUCGGAUCGUAAAGCUCUGUUGUAAGUCAAGAACGGGUGUGAGAGUGGAAAGUCCACACUGUGACGGUAGCUUACCAGAAAGGGACGGCUAACUACGUG
rnacentral:rRNA from 1 species